rnacentral:rRNA from 1 species
GUACACUCCUACGGGAGGCAGCAGUGGGGAAUUUUACGCAAUGGGGGAAACCCUGACGUAGCGACACCGCGUGAGCGAAGAAGCCCUUUGGGGUGUAAAGCUCUGUCAGCUGGAACGAAAACAAUGACGGUACCAGCAGAGGAAGCAUCGGCUAACUACGUGCCAGCAGCCGCGGUAAGACGUAGGAUGCGAGCGUUGUCCGGAUUUAUUGGGCGUAAAGAGUUCGUAGGUGGUUUGUUAAGUUUGGUGUUAAAGAUCGGGGCUCAACCCUGGGACUGCACUGAAUACUGGCAGACUCGAGUGUGGUAGAGGCUAGUGGAAUUCCCAGUGUAGCGGUGAAAUGCGUAGAUAUUGGGAAGAACACCGGUGGCGUAGGCGACUAGCUGGGCCAUAACUGACGCUGAGGAACGAAAGCCAGGGGAGCGAAUGGGAUUAGAAACCCGUGUAGUCCCAUG